AUCAAGAACUUCAAAUAAUCUCCUCUCUUUAAUCUUCUUUAAAGAUCUGUGAGAAUUUUUACAUAAUUAUUUUGACGAUUGCGACACAUCCAAUCCGUUUUGCAGUUAGUUUAGUGGUCUUGAUUAUUAGAGUCUCCCGAUUGACGAAUCAAAUUUCUUCCAUGAGUCUUAUACAAUUGACAUGAACAGAGAACAACUCCAGGAUAGAUAAAUCAAAAUUCUUCAUUAAGUCUUUAUCUUUAGUAUUUGUCACAGUAAAUAUAUCUAUACAUGUAUCAUUUGGUAUGAGUACAAGUAAAGUAAUGCAUGUGUUUAGUUUACGGUCUGAAUUUGGAGAUGAGUGCCCCUGCGGUGUGAACUAAUUAACAAGGCAUCAUGUUUGGCUGGCUGAAUAUUUGGCUGCUAUCCUUAAUUUGGUGAUCUAAACAUAGAUUUGAACAUUUCUACACCAUACCUUCUAAUUCUUCUAUUAUGCAAGUUUGUGCUUAGAUUUUCACACUCUCUCAUUCAUUCUGGGGUUAUCUUUUUUUUCUUACAAGAUGAUGUUGAUUUUUGUAUUUCUUCACGUAAUGAAGCUUUUGUACAUGUCUAUACACAAGGAACUUAGGUUAUAGUCUGAAUUAGAAUACAAGAUUAUGGAAUUACUUUUUUUCUUUUCCCAAGUUGAGGAUUUCAUUACAAGUUAUGGUGAUUGGUUGGUUGGGGAGAAAUUAACUUUUGUGCUGCAUUCUUCUAUUAUGAUGUUUUUAUUUGUGAUUAAUGAUGAUUAUGAUACAUUGCAGUUGCCCAAAGACUCUUCUGUAUUAGGAUGAAACCAAAAUUAUCAUUACAUGGUCUCUUGAGUUGGAUGGAAAUUUGUUCCAAUGAAUCCUCAUCUUUUGUUGGCAAUGUUCAUACUUUGUUGCUAUGCCCUAUUUUGGUCAUCUCUACUAAUACUAUUCACAUUUCAAUCUUAAUUUAACUUUGAUACUCAACAUCUCCUUUUGUAAGAUCCUUAGUCUUUUAUCUGGAUGUUGACACUUGUGGCAGGCGUAGGUUCACAUUCUAGCUGCAGGCAGAGAGGUCCUCUAAUGGUGUGUCUUGUUUUAGUUGAAGGCAUACAAGAAACCAUACCAUAUUCUAGAAUACAUUUCUAUCUCGAGGAUAAGGAAUUCUGCAGAAUCUGCAAUUGGUGCAAGAACCUGGCAUAAGUGGAGCCUAAUUGAGCACAAGAGGCUGCAAUUGGUUUUUGUUGUUGUUGUUGUACUUUUAGUUAGUGAUCUCUACUAUGACUAUUAAUUCUUCAUGUUUCUUUGUAUAUAUUAAGAUCUUAUUUUCUCGCUAUCUUCGUGAGUUCCCUGUAGGUGUCACAUGGAAUAUGUAUUGUGAAAACUGCUUAGAUGAUUGUCGCGGACAUUCUACUGGAUGUUUCAUGGGAGAGAAGCUAUGAAACUAAAAAUCAUCUCUCCCAUAUGGGUAUCCCUCAUAGAGUCUGCAACUGGAGCAAGUACAUGACUUUCAUCUGGUGAUCUCUACUAUGACUAUCGAUUCUUCAUGUUUACUUGUAUAUAUUAAGAUCUUGUUUUCACGAUUUCUUGGUGAGCUUCAGGUAGGCGUCACAUGGAAUAUGUACUGUGGGAACCGCUUAGAUGAAUGUCUUGGACAUUUUGCUUGAUUCAUUGGAGAAAGGCUAUGAAUUUCGUGGAAUUUGAACCUUUGCAUUUAACAGAAGGAGGGCUUCAGUAUUUGUGGUUAUGUAGGACAUGUCCAUCUCUUUCUUGACUAAGAUGUGUUUGUUUUGCUAUAUUUUUCUUUUUUCAGUUGUGUUUAUUUAUUUAUUUAUUAUUUAUGAUUAUGAUACUCCUCAUAAGAAGUUAUCCUCUUCGUUACAGUUGGCCGGCCAAAGGACUCCUUUAUAUUUAGAGGAGACCGAAGCUGUGUCAUUUCAUAUGAGUACAUGUCAUUGCAAAUUGGAUGGGAAAUUUGUGCCAAUGAAUCAUC